ACCCUUUUCUCUACGAGCUAUGUUGUUAUGUUUAAGUACAUCCUUGUGGUGGAGUGGGCUUGGAUCAAUGCACGCCCGGUUUCCAGCAUUGAUUUCCUUUGAGACAUAAAUGGGGGCUGCAAAGCGUACUUUUUUUGUACCUUUUAUUGUUUUCUUGUUCUUUUGGUAUCCCUGGGUCUGGGCCGAUGGUCAUGAGUGACGAUAGGAGGGAGGUGUACACGGCCUUGCGUCAUUGGAAAUGUUGUUUUAAUUUUACUGUUUUAUUGGUCCUUUUGAUCGUUUGUUUGCUUUUUCUGGACAAUCAGGAUGCAUGAAAUCUAAUCCGGUUUGAGUGCCUUUUAGCACUGGAAUUACCGAGAGAAGAUUGAUAUUGUACAGCUAGAACAUGGGGUCAAUGGGCUGGAACCAGUUGUAGUUGCUAAUUUUCCAAUAAAGAAAUUUGGUGACCAGUCCCUUGCAUUGGGCCAGGAGGCACAUUGAGGUGUACCAAGAGACGGAUGUUUUGCGCAUUCUUCCAUCUUGUGGCCAUACAUUCCAUGUUACUUGCAUAGACAUGGCUGAAACAACAUUCAACAUGCCCUGUCUGUAGAAUUUCAUUGCGAGAUUCUCCUGAUAGAGAACAUGCACUGUGACCUCUCUACAGUUCAGCCACCAGAACCUUUUCUCACCCUGAAACCUUUGUUGCAGAUCCAUGCCACUAUCAAUUUGCACAGUCAUGUUACUCUCCAAGGGUAGCAGAAAACCAGAGAACCGUCUCCCCUCAGGAAGACCAGUUGAUGUCAUUGCCAUCCGGAUCCAGUUAUAAUGCCUUCUUGAUCUGUAGCCAACUGCUUCAUAUCAAGCAAAAUCAAGAUACAUCAAGAAUCUACAAAAUUCUUUGCCACUCAAAUAACAGGAAAUAGGAUAUGCUUGAGAUUGAUCUCCAUGCCAAAUACAUAGGGAUUGAAGGGAUUUAGAAGCUAACAUCAUAUCUGUACAACUGUUUGUCGUGAGCUGCAUGCUGCUUUUUAUCCGGCAUGAUGUUUGAGGGUCAGUUGUUGGAGAUUGUUGAAAUGGGUGGUUUUUGGUAUUCUGCUAUAAAAUCAUGAAUUUUGAUGGUAUAUACUU